rnacentral:rRNA from 1 species
UAAGGAAUAUUGGUCAAUGGACGCAAGUCUGAACCAGCCAUGCCGCGUGAAGGAUGAAGGUCCUCUGGAUUGUAAACUUCUUUUAUCUGGGACGAUAAUGACGGUAGCGGGAGAAGAAGCCCCGGCUAACUCCGUGCCAGCAGCCGCGGUAAUACGGAGGGGGCUAGCGUUGUUCGGAAUUACUGGGCGUAAAGCGUACGUAGGCGGAUGCGCAAGUUGGGGGUGAAAUCCCGGGGCUUAACCUCGGAAUUGCCCUCAAAACUGCACGUCUUGAGACCGAGAGAGGUAAGGGGAAUUCCUAGUGUAGAGGUGAAAUUCGUAGAUAUUAGGAAGAACACCAGUGGCGAAGGCGCCUUACUGGCUCGGUACUGACGCUGAGGUACGAAAGCGUGGGGAGCAA